AUGGCCGGCCUUGUGCCGACCUACGUUUGUGCCACGGUGGGCACCACGUCCUCCAAUGCUGUUGACCCCAUAGGUGACGUCGCCAAAGUCGCGGCUAUGUUCAAUGCAUGGGUCCAUGUCGACGCCGCCUACGCCGGCAGCGCGUGCAUUUGCCCAGAGUUUCGGCACCACCUCAACGGCGUCGAGCGCGUAGACUCCAUAAGCAUGAGCCCGCACAAGUGGCUGCUCACGUGCCUGGACUGCACCUGCCUCUACGUGCGCGACGCACACCACCUCAGCCAGUCGCUGGAGACUAAUCCCGAGUACCUCAAGAACGAUGCCAGCAUGUCCGGCGACGGCACUGACCUCAAGGACAUGCAGGUCGGAGUCGGCCGCCGCUUCCGUGGCCUCAAACUUUGGAUGGUCAUGCGAACCUACGGCACCGCCAAUCUCCAAGAGCACAUCCGCAGAGACGUCGCCAUGGCCAAGAUGUUUGAGGACUUGGUCCAUGCUGAUGAUCGGUUUGAGAUCGUCGUGCCGAGAAACUUUGCUCUCGUCUGCUUCAAGAUCAAGGCGACUAGAAUUAGGGCGAACGACGAGGUGAACCGUUUGCUCAUGGUAAACGUGAACAAGACCGGCAAGGCGUACCUUGCGCACACAGUGGUAGGUGGCAGGCUCGUCCUGCGCUUCGCCGUGGGAUCGUCACUUCAGGAGGAGAGACACAUUUUGAGCGCUUGGGAGCUCAUCAGGAAGACGGUCGGUGAGAUGAUGAACUAG
rnacentral:rRNA from 1 species